rnacentral:rRNA from 1 species
UACGGGGGGAGCAAGCGUUGUUCGGAUUUACUGGGCGUAAAGGGCGUGUAGGCGGCCUGUGCAAGUCAGUUGUGAAAUCUCCGAGCUUAACUCGGAACGGUCAACUGAUACUGCUCGGCUAGAGUGCGGAAGGGGCAACUGGAAUUCUUGGUGUAGCGGUGAAAUGCGUAGAUAUCAAGAGGAACACCUGCGGCGAAGGCGGGUUGCUGGGCCGACACUGACGCUGAGGCGCGAAAGCUAGGGGAGCGAACGGG